UGCCAGCCGCCGCGGUAAUACGAAGGGACCUAGCGUAGUUCGGAAUUACUGGGCUUAAAGAGUUCGUAGGUGGUUGAAAUAGUUGGUGGUGAAAUCCCAGAGCUUAACUCUGGAACUGCCAUCAAAACUUUUCAGCUAGAGUAUGAUAGAGGAAAGCAGAAUUUCUAGUGUAGAGGUGAAAUUCGUAGAUAUUAGAAAGAAUACCAAAUGCGAAGGCAGCUUUCUGGAUCAUUACUGACGCUCAGACACGAAGGCUAGGGUAGCGAAAGGGAUUAGAUA
rnacentral:rRNA from 1 species